AUUGAACGCUAGCGGGAUGCCUUACACAUGUAAGUCGAACGGAGUGGCGAACGGGUGAGUAAUGUAUCGGAACGUGCCCAGUAGCGGGGGAUAACUACGCGAAAGCGUAGCUAAUACCGCAUACUAUUAGAGCGGCAGAUAUCGGAUUAGCGAGUUGGGGGGGUAACGGCUAACCAAGGCGACGAUCCGUAGCUGGUUUGAGAGGACGACCAGCCAUACUGGGACUGAGACACGGCCCAGACUCCUACGGUAGGCAGCAGUGGGGAAUGUUGGACGAUGGGGUAAACCCUGUGCCAGCCAUCCCGCGUGUGUGAUGAAGGCCGUCGGUUUGUAAAGCACUUUUGGCAGGAAAGCGGUACCUGCAGAAUAAGCACCGGCUAACUACGUGCCAGCAGCGGCGGUAAUAC
rnacentral:rRNA from 1 species